UACGUAGGGGGCUAGCGUUGUCCGGAAUCAUUGGGCGUAAAGCGCGCGUAGGCGGCCCGGUAAGUCCGCUGUAAAAGUCAAAGGCUCAACCUUUGAAUGUCAGUGGAUACUGCCGGGCUAGAGUCCGGAAGAGGCGAGUGGAACUCCUGGUGUAGCGGUGGAAUGCGCAGAUAUCAGGAAGAACACCGCCGGCGAAGGCAGCUCGCUGGGACGAUACUGACGCUGAGGCGCGAAAGCGUGGGGAGCGAACAGG
rnacentral:rRNA from 1 species